CAUACGUCCGUAACAUGCAACGCAGACGUCAGCAUAUCGAUUUUUGGGUAAUAAGUUCGCCGUCGCCAACACCACGCCACGUAGUUGGCGUCGCGACGCUGUUCCAAAAGGUUAUGGUAGAAGGGAAUAUGGACAUGUCGCCUAAAAUACACAGCGGAUUGUAAAAGAUAUGUUCAAAAUCAGAACAAUAAUAAUGAUAUUUCCCGCACCCGAAGACAUUGUAGUGGUUAAUAAUAACUUGUGUAAUUCCCAUAAACACUUUGUUUACCAAUACCUUUUGCGGACUGUGUGCUACAGUGAUUAAGUGUUAGGCGAAGCAGACGUCACUCUUCCGUAGACGAAACCCAUUAAUAAAGAGGGGACUUCAUUGUUUGUCGUUUCCUACGUCACGUGAGUGGGGGGUCCCACCUCUACAUAAAUAUCCCCCCGGCUACUUUUCCAAAUAAUCAGUUUCGUGUGGUACGAGCGAGGAGGAGAGUAGCAAGCAACCUUCGGAUCGUCGUUUUCUUUUUACUUUUUUUUUCAUCUGCCCGCGUUGUAUGGUUCUACCCUACAACGUACUCCCACUAGGAGAAAAAGAUUCUUUUUCUUAAAGGACAUACUUAUUUUUUAAAUAAAAGUAACAUUUUUAUUUUUGAUGUGUUUAAUACUAGAUUAUGUGUUGGAAACCACUCAGAAAGACUAGCUAUAUUCCGUUUCAUUUGUCGUAUUUGAAAAAUCUGUUAAGUUAGUAUCGUAUUUAAAAAAGUUCUGUCAUCAUAGCAAUAGAAAAGUGUACGUAAUAUUUCAAAUGUAAUUCUUUGACCAAUAAUAUUUUAUGAAACGAU